AUUGACAAGUGAUGAUAAACAUAUGCAAUACUGAAGAAAUUUAUCGUGUUGAUAAAACUCCGCUUAUUAUCUGAUGUCAGG
rnacentral:snoRNA from 1 species